rnacentral:rRNA from 1 species
UCCUACGGGAGGCAGCAGUCGGGAAUAUUGCACAAUGGAGGAAACUCUGAUGCAGUGACACCGCGUAUAGGAAGAAGGUUUUCGGAUUGUAAACUAUUUUAGACAGGGAAGAAAAAAGACAGUACCUGUAGAAUAAGCUCCGGCUAACUACGUGCCAGCAGCCGCGGUAAUACGUAGGGAGCAAGCGUUAUCCGGAAUUAUUGGGUGUAAAGGGAGCGUAGACGGCGAUGCAAGUCUGAAGUGAAAGGCGGGGGCCCAACCCCCGGACUGCUUUGGAAACUGUAUAGCUGGAGUGCAGGAGGGGG